rnacentral:ncRNA from 1 species
UUUUCUCUCAUAGCCAGAUAUUCGGGGCUCAAGGGCUUCGUCUCAGAGCAGAGAGACGAAAAGGGCUUGUCUCCGUGCCGAUCGGGAAGGUCGGCAAAAAAUAAAACCUCAUGGAAGCCGUUAGUAGCUCAGGGAGCAGCUCCCCGGGCGAACGCCGUGACACAUG